rnacentral:misc_RNA from 1 species
UCCGGUUUAUCACCGGCAGUCCCUGCAGAGUCCCCGGCACGCUUUCGCGUCCGCUGGCAACAGCAGGCAAGGGUUGCGCUCGUUGCGGGACUUAACCCAACAUCUCACGACACGAGCUGACGACAGCCAUGCACCACCUGUGGAUCACCCUCGAAGGCGGCUCCGUUUCGGGAGCUUGCAGAUCCAUGUCAAACCCUGGUAAGGUUCUUCGCGUUGCAUCGAAUUAAGCCAUAUGCUCCACCGCUUGUGCGGGCCCCCGCCAAUUCCUUUGAGUUUUAAUCUUGCGAUCGUAGUUCCCAGGCGGUUCACUUAAUGCGUUAGCUGCGGCACCGAGGGUUGCCCCCCAACACCUAGUGAACAUCGUUUAUGGCCAAGACUAC